UAACAUUGAAGCCAUCUUUAAACUUCGAUAGUCUCCCAAAUUCACUUCCCAUCACAAGAAUUGUGAGGUUUUAACUUCCCUGCAACUCAAAACAGAUCCGCAAACAAGAAGAAUAAAAGAACACACACAAUUGUUAACCCAGUUCACGGCUAACCGCUACGUCUGGAGAGGGAAACUCUUGUCCCUUAACUUCCACUAGAUCAAGGUUCAAACUACAACACCAACUGACUUGUUCUACUUGUUACAGGUUUUGUGCCAAGAGAGAAAACACAGAACGCCCUAGAACAAGCUAUGUGAAAAGAUACGGCCUAAGGAAGAAGAAACAACUAGGUAUUCUCUAUUCCUUAUAUACGAACUUGAUCUCCACGUUUUUGUGUCUUGGACUUCACAUCUUGGUCCAAUCUCUUCUCCUAUAAUACUUGUGUAGAACUUGUAUCAGGUCCAUCUAAAUAAUCAGACAGCCCAGUUCUAGAUUUGACCCAAAAGGCAACCUGAGAUUCACAUUCUCCACCUUUGACUUUUGGUCAAAAUCCCUUUCACGUAGUUUUCCCCUUUCUCUCUAAUGGAAUCUGAUGCUCAUCGAUUUCUUCCAAUAAGCAUCUCCUUCGGUGUCAGCUCCUUUGCCAACUCCACCUGUGAAGAAAUUCACACCUCUGAUUCUUCUUUUCAGUUCCACCGAAGAAUCAUGCUUCUUCCUCACACCAAUUUCGGACAUCUCAAAUGAGUGUCCUCUUCCAUCAGUUUCAACAGCGAGAUUUAAAAAAAAAAAAAAACCCAGGUAAAUCAAUUUCGGAAUCUUUUCUUUUCUGUGACAUUCCCUUUCUGAUUUCUGCAAUUUCUUUUCUGUAAAACCUCUGAUUCUGUCGCCGAGACCUCCUGAACAAAAUACUGACCCAUUUUGUUCUUCUCUUCUGUUUUGCGAGAAUACCAUGGCUGGCUUCACACAGAAUAAGCUUGAAAAGGUAGUACCUGUCAAUUCUGACUCUAUCCUUUUCCUUAUUCCCUUUGUCGAUUUUUUCUCUUUCCCGAGAACACUAACUCCUUGUGCUCUCUUCUUCCUGCGAGAUGAUCCAUCGACGAAGACCUUCUCGCUUUCCUCUGGACCUUUUCAGGCGAGGACUCUGAGGCUCUCACGCCCUUGUUCAAACCGCUUUCCAGGUAAUCCCUUAGUUAGUAAAUCUGCUGGGUUGACUGAAGUAUGAAUUUUGUGUAGAAAAACAUCUCCAUCUUCGAUGACAUCUCUGAUAAAAUAUAAUCGAUUGUCUAUAUGCUUGGUCCUCUCAUGAAAUCCUCCAUUUUUCGCCAAGUGUAUAGCACUCUGAGAAUCUGAGAAUACUUUCACAUCAUCCUGUUCAAUACCCAAAUCACUAACCAUUCGUUUCAACCAUAAAGCUUCUUUGAACGCCUCUGUUAAAGCCAUGUAUUCAGAUUUUGUAGUUGACAGAGCUACUAUCUGUUGUAGUCCUGAUCUCCAACUGACUGUAUUACCACCAACCUGAAAUACAUAACCCGUUACAGAUCUUCUUCUAUCAAGAUCUGUAGCAUAAUCAGCAUCUGAAAAACCUUCGACCUUAAAACUUGAAUUCUUUGUGAAUGUAAGACUUAAACUUGAAGUUCCUUUAAGAUAUCGCAAUAUCCAUUUAACUGCUUGCCAAUGCACUCUUCCUGGACUUCCCAUAAAUCUACUAACCACACCCACAGCAUGUGCCAAAUCAGGCCUCGAACCCACCAUGGCAUACAUGAGCGAUCCUACUGCACUUGCAUAAGGUAUCUCACUCAUCAAAUGCCUCUCAGUCUUUAAUUCUUCAUCACUUAAGCUUCUGAGUUUAAACUGAGAACCCAAAUGUGUACUCACAGGUUUUGCCUCACUCAUACUGAAAGUUCUAAGUACCUGUUCGAUGUACUUUUCUUGUGAUAGCUUCAGAAUUCCUUUUUCCCUGUCUCUGAUGAAAUCCAUUCCAAGAAUCCUAGUUGCAGCUCCUAGGUCUUUCAUUUCAAAUUCUCUCAUCAAACUCUGUUUCAACUCCUUAAUUCCUGCUGAAUUCUUUGAUGCAACAAGCAUAUCAUCCACAUAUAUCAAAAGAUAUACAGAGUUGUGUAUAUCCGAACCUGAGAUAUACACACAAGGAUCAAACACACUUUUCCUGAAUCCUUGACCUUCAUAAAACCAUCGAACCUCUUAUUCCAUUGUCUUGGUGACUGUUUAACUCCAUACAUGGAUUUCUUCAGUAAACACACCAUUUCUUCCUUCCCUUUCACUUGAAAACCUUCUGGUUGUGCCAUAUAAAUUUCCUCAUCCAAUGAUCCAUGUAAAAAAGCUGUUUUUACAUCUAACUGCUCCAGAUCAUAAUCUUGAUUUACUACAAGUGAAAGCAAAAUUCGAAUAGACACAUGCUUAACUACUGGUGCGAACACUUCGGUAUAGUCGAUACCUUCCACUUGUGAGAAGCCCUGUGCUACCAGCCUAGCCUUGUAUCUUGGCUCCUCAACCCCUGGAAUUCCUGGUUUCCAUUUAAACACCCACUUGCAGCCUAUUAUUUUCUUCUUUUCUGGUUUUUCCACCAAUUCCCAUGUGUCAUUCUUGUGCAAAGAUUCUAUCUCUUCUCCGGCUGCCGAUUUCCACUUUUUCCAAUCUUUGCUUCUUCUUGCUUCGAAGUAUGAUUUGGGUUCAUCUAUUUCAAUGUCUUCAGCACAAGACAGUGCAUAUGCUACAACGUCGAAAUCAUCAUACUUUGAAGGGAACUUUGAUACUCUUUUUUCUCUGUCUCUAGCAAGAAUAUAAUUUUCAAGGUUCACUUGAUCUUCUUCACCGGCUUCACUUUCUGUGUCUGUUUCUGAACCAGAUCCUUCAUUUUCUGAACCAGAUCCUGAUAUACCCGAAACUGAACCAGCUCCACCUUGAACAGAAUUUUCUGAAUCUGCUCCACCUUGAACCGAAUUCCCUGCAUCUGAGUAUUCUGCUGAAGCACCUCUGAUUAGAUCAUUACUUAAAGAAACCCUCUUAAUCUUCUUUUGUGUUUGACCGGUUGUUUCUUUCUGAACUAAAUCAACAACUUUCG
rnacentral:lncRNA from 1 species